UAAUACAUGCAAGUCGAACGAACUCUGGUAUUGAUUGGUGCUUGCAUCAUGAUUUACAUUUGAGUGAGUGGCGAACUGGUGAGUAACACGUGGGAAACCUGCCCAGAAGCGGGGGAUAACACCUGGAAACAGAUGCUAAUACCGCAUAACAACUUGGACCGCAUGGUCCGAGUUUGAAAGAUGGCUUCGGCUAUCACUUUUGGAUGGUCCCGCGGCGUAUUAGCUAGAUGGUGAGGUAACGGCUCACCAUGGCAAUGAUACGUAGCCGACCUGAGAGGGUAAUCGGCCACAUUGGGASUGAGACACGGCCCAAAYUCCUACGGGAGGCAGCAGUAGGGAAUCUUCCACAAUGGACGAAAGUCUGAUGGAGCAACGCCGCGUGAGUGAAGAAGGGUUUCGGCUCGUAAAACUCUGUUGUUAAAGAAGAACAUAUCUGAGAGUAACUGUUCAGGUAUUGACGGUAUUUAACCAGAAAGCCACGGCUAACUACGUGCCAGCAGCCGCGGUAAUACGUAGGUGGCAAGCGUUGUCCGGAUUUAUUGGGCGUAAAGCGAGCGCAGGCGGUUUUUUAAGUCUGAUGUGAAAGCCUUCGGCUCAACCGAAGAAGUGCAUCGGAAACUGGGAAACUUGAGUGCAGAAGAGGACAGUGGAACUCCAUGUGUAGCGGUGAAAUGCGUWGAUAUAUGGAAGAACACCAGUGGCGAAGGCGGCUGUCUGGUCUGUAACUGACGC
rnacentral:rRNA from 1 species